ACAGCAGUCGCCGCGGGAAUACGAAGGGGGCUAGCGUUGUUCGGAAUUACUGGGCGUAAAGCGCACGUAGGCGGAUAUUUAAGUCAGGGGUGAAAUCCCGCAGCUCAACUGCGGAACUGCCUUUGAUACUGGGUAUCUUGAGUAUGGAAGAGGUUAGUGGAAUUGCGAGUGUAGAGGUGAAAUUCGUAGAUAUUCGCAGGAACACCAGUGGCGAAGGCGGCUAACUGGUCCAUAACUGACGCUGAGGUGCGAAAGCGUGGGGAGCAAACAGGAUUAGAUACCCCCAGUAGUCCCUGUCUCUUAUU
rnacentral:rRNA from 1 species